CCGAGUUUACAACUCCCAAACCCCUGUGAACAUACCUACUUGUUGCCUCGGCGGAUCAGCCCGCGCCCCGUAAAACGGGACGGCCCGCCAGAGGACCCCUAAACUCUGUUUCUAUAGUGGAACUUCUGAGUAAAACCAUAAAGUAAAUCA
rnacentral:misc_RNA from 1 species